ACAACAUUUGGACCGUCGGUCUACCGAGCAAUAUCACCCGCUCCGUGGAAGAUCUUCCUUUCCCUCGU
rnacentral:pre_miRNA from 1 species